GCAAAUCGAGUCCAAAUCGAAAUCUGAAUAUAGAUUUGUGAUCACCUUGACUAAGGGAUCGUAAGGCAACACGAGUGAGGCGUCGGGAAGUCAAGCCGGUGCGGACGCUCGCCAAAAGGGAAAGCUCUAAGCUUUAAAGUAAGUCAAUCAAAUGGAUGGUGAUCAACGCAAGGCUUCGGAACCGAACACAAUCAAGAAGUUGUUCUUCACUUUUGUCUUAAAUAUUCGCUAGUGAUAAUUUUGUA